rnacentral:rRNA from 1 species
AUGCACGCUGGCGGCGUGCCUAAUCCAUGCAAGUCGAGCGAACAGAUAAGGAGCUUGCUCCUUUGACGUUAGCGGCGGACGGGUGAGUAACACGUGGGUAACCUACCUAUAAGACUGGAAUAACUCCGGGAAACCGGGGCUAAUGCCGGAUAACAUUUAGAACCGCAUGGUUCUAAAGUGAAAGAUGGUUUUACUAUCACUUAUAGAUGGACCCGCGCCGUAUUAGCUAGUUGGUAAGGUAACGGCUUACCAAGGCAACGAUACGUAGCCGACCUGAGAGGGUGAUCGGCCACACUGGAACUGAGACACGGUCCAGACUCCUACGGGAGGCAGCAGUAGGGAAUCUUCCGCAAUGGGCGAAAGCCUGACGGAGCAACGCCGCGUGAGUGAUGAAGGUCUUCGGAUCGUAAAACUCUGUUAUUAGGGAAGAACAAAUGUGUAAGUAACUGUGCACGUCUUGACGGUACCUAAUCAGAAAGCCACGGCUAACUACGUG